CCGCAAGCCUUCCAGCAUGGCCGGGUCUCAUCCAUGACCCUGAUCACUCCUGUAGUGCUUGCAAGAGAAGACCUGAGAUGGUUUGAGGCCUUGCUCUGCCCCAACUUCGGGGUGAGGUUAUAGAAAUCUCAGACAAGC